UCAUGCCCCUUAUGACCUGGCUACACACGUGCUACAAUGGGCGGUACAAAGGGUCGCGAACCCGCGAGGGGGAGCCAAUCCCAAAAAGCCGCUCUCAGUUCGGAUUGCAGGCUGCAACUCGCCUGCAUGAAGCCGGAAUCGCUAGUAAUCGCGGAUCAGCAUGCCGCGGUGAAUACGUUCCCGGGCCUU
rnacentral:rRNA from 1 species